GUGAGAACCGUGGUAUCAUGAUGAUCCGUGUGUUGAGAACCGUGGGUAUCAUGAUGAUCCGUGUGGUGAGAACCGUGGGUAUCAUGAUGAUCCGUGUGGUGAGAACCGUGGGUAUCAUGAUGAUCCGUGUGGUGAGAACCGUGGGUAUCAUGAUGAUCCGUGUGGUGAGAACCGUGGGUAUCAUGA
rnacentral:lncRNA from 1 species